rnacentral:lncRNA from 1 species
GCGGGAGCCCUGCACGAAUGGUGCUCAAACCCCGUCAGCGAUGCACACCAGUUUACAUAAAAAUGGCCAUUUCACUUGGAAUUGACGAAAACUCUGGAAAAAUUGACUAAAACUGUGGAAACUGUCUUAUUUAUAAGUAGGGCUCUUACUACUUUGAGCUUUAGAUGUGGCUACCAAGGGAUGUGCGUCUAUUAAAGCCACGCAGGGCAAACUCAGGCAUUUUAUUAGCUUGGUUUCAAGCCAACGUAAGUCCGACCAGCACCAUUUCCUUGUGGGGGAGACAACAAACUCCUUUUAGUCCCAGCUGUACGGACUUAAAAAGUUUUGUGGACACAUAGCUUAAUGCCCCGAAAAGAAGAUCCGGUGAUGUCCGGCCUGGAAAUAAUGUGAAAUAUUUGUCGUUAUUGUCACCCAGGGACGCGGUUGGUCUUUUCUUCUGGCUCCAAGAGCGACACAAGAUGCCGAUCCCGUCUCCCCAACCUCCGGAGAAAGACCCUGGGAUGGUAUUUCAGACGGUCAACGGCAACGUGAUUUUUGCAUCCGUUUCUCUUCCUGUUUCAACUAAGGCUCCGGCUGCCAGCUCUUCCCUCCUGCUCGCCGGUCGCUCCGCCAGCUCUUCCCCGCGGCCCCUUGGAGGUG